GCUCCGUUAGUGAACCAGCGGAGGGAUCAUUACCGAGUUUACAACUCCCAAACCCCAAUGUGAACCUUAUACCCAACGUUGCUUCGGCGGGCCGAGCCUGUCCCCCGCAAGGGGGCUGGACCGCCGCCGGAGGACCCCCAAACUCUUGUCGUUUUCAGUAUCAGUGAUAACUCUGAGUGGCACGUCAGUGCAAUAAAAAAUGAAUCAAAACUUUCAACAACGGAUCUCUUGGCUCUC
rnacentral:misc_RNA from 1 species